CCCCUUUUUUCGCAUCGCUAACUUGCGGAUCGGAAAUCAUGUCCCGUCAUGAGUUUGUGAGGGAUGCAAGUAAUUGUAGUUUUUAGAUGAAUUUCAUUUGUACAGUGUAUGCCAUGUUCAACUCUUAAUUUUCGCUAGAUUUAUUUUGAGAGCAUAAUAGAAUACUACAACGUGCUUAAUUUUGUUUUUUUAUUUUUUUAUUUUUCAGGGUAUCUUCAGCUGCUGCAACGGCCAGGACGAAAGAAUAUGAACAAACAUCAACCAUCUCGUCUAAAAUGGUAUCUUCAGCUGCUGCAACGGCCAGGACGAAAGAAUAUGAACAAACAUCAACCAUCUCGUCUAAAAUGGUAUCUUCAGCUGCUGGAAAGUCAUCAACGUGGACUGUGUGGCACUGGCAUGCUUGUCUUCUGGUGUACAUGCAGACAUGCAGUCUUAAUUUGUAAGACUGAACUGUCCAAAACACGAUGCAAGAUCCCCAUAGGAAAGUGAAAAGUAUGCCGCAGACCUGCCGCAGA